rnacentral:rRNA from 1 species
UCAGGAAANUCUGGAGUAAAAGGCUAUGGCUCAACCAUAGUGUGCUCUGGAAACUNUCUGACUUGAGUGCAGAAGGGGAGAGUGGAAUUCCAUGUGUAGCGGUGAAAUGCGUAGAUAUAUGGAGGAACACCAGUGGCGAAAGCGGCUCUCUGGUCUGUCACUGACGCUGAGGCUCGAAAGCGUGGGUAGCGAACAGGAUUAGAUACCCUGGUAGUCCACGCCGUAAACGAUGAGUGCUAGGUGUUAGGCCCUUUCCGGGGCUUAGUGCCGGAGCUAACGCAAUAAGCACUCCGCCUGGGGAGUACGACCGCAAGGUUGAAACUCAAAGGAAUUGACGGGGGCCCGCACAAGCGGUGGAGCAUGUGGUUUAAUUCGAAGCAACGCGAAGAACCUUACCAGGUCUUGACAUCCCGAUGCUAUUCUUAGAGAUAGGAAGUUACUUCGGUACAUCGGAGACAGGUGGUGCAUGGUUGUCGUCAGCUCGUGUCGUGAGAUGUUGGGUUAAGUCCCGCAACGAGCGCAACCCUUAUUGUUAGUUGCCAUCAUUAAGUUGGGCACUCUAGCGAGACUGCCGGUAAUAAACCGGAGGAAGGUGGGGAUGACGUCAAAUCAUCAUGCCCCUUAUGACCUGGGCUACACACGUGCUACAAUGGUCGGUACAACGAGUUGCGAGCCGGUGACGGCAAGCUAAUCUCUGAAAGCCGAUCUCAGUUCGGAUUGGAGGCUGCAACUCGCCUCCAUGGAGUCGGAAUCGCUAGUAAUCGCGGAUCAGCACGCCGCGGUGAAUACGUUCCCGGGCCUUGUACACACCGCCCGUCACACCACGAGAGUUUGUAACACCCGAAGUCGGUGAGGUANCCUUUUAGGGGCCA